rnacentral:rRNA from 1 species
AUGGCCAUGGACGACGCGGGACGCCGGGACUUGCCCACGGACGUCCUGGUGGACAUCCUGCUGCGGCUGCCCCCGAGCACCCGCCGCCGGGUCCGCCUCGUCUGCAGGCUCUGGCGCGACGUCGUUGACGAGCGCACCUCGGAGAUGCAGAGCCGCGCCACGGCCCUCCUCUGGGAUUCCUGGGACGCGGUCGCCUACGUCCUCGACGACCUGUCCAAGUCGUCGACAGGGAACUGCAGAGAGCUGUGGAGGCAUAGCACCUACGGAGAACUUGUGGGCACCUGCAACGGCCUACUCUGCCUGUCCGACAUGAUGACACCCGGCGGCACCGUCACCUUGGUCAACCCGGCCACCGACGAGACGCUGUCAGUCCCACAGCUGCCGUGUCCAGGCCAGUUCAGGAUUAACUGGUACAAGGCGUAUAGCUUCGCGUACCACCCUACGUCCGGACAGUACAAGGUGGUGCACGUCCCCUGCAGCAUUGACCGGAUGCCCAUGUUCGGCACCGUACAUGUGCUUACACUAGGGGAGGCGUCGUGGCGAGAGGUUACUACCGGCCCCGAGCAAGACGGGUGGUGCGAGUGCGACCUCAGCGCCGGCAUCGUCAGCGUCGAUGGCACUACAUAUUGGGUCAUGGGGCCACACUUUGUGUAUGGCGAGUACGUCUUGACGGAGGAGAAAGGAUGGAUAUGCAGGCACUAUAGGCGGAAAGGUAUGUGGUCAUCCAACAAGGCGGUGCCGGUGCUGGUCAGCCACAGGGCUCAGGGGAUGCUGCUCGCGAAGACACCAAGCAGCUGGUGCCGGACAUUUCCUUAUGUCGAGACAAUGGAGCCACUUAGCAUUUAUGUUGCUAAUUGUUAA